rnacentral:rRNA from 1 species
AUUGAACGCUGGCGGCAUGCUUUACACAUGCAAGUCGAACGGCAGCGCGGGCUUCGGCCUGGCGGCGAGUGGCGAACGGGUAAGUAAUACAUCGGAACGUGCCCAGUAGUGGGGGAUAGCUCGGCGAAAGCCGGAUUAAUACCGCAUACGACCUGAGGGUGAAAGCGGGGGAUCUUCGGACCUCGCGCUAUUGGAGCGGCCGAUGGCAGAUUAGCUAGUUGGUGGGGUAAAGGCCUACCAAGGCGACGAUCUGUAGCUGGUCUGAGAGGGCGACCAGCCACACUGGGACUGAGACACGGCCCAGACUCCUACGGGAGGCAGCAGUGGGGAAUUUUGGACAAUGGGCGAAAGCCUGAUCCAGCAAUGCCGCGUGUGUGAUGAAGGCCUUCGGGUUGUAAAGCACUUUUGGCGGGAACGAAAAGGACUGUGCCAAUACCACGGUUCGAUGACGGUACCCGCAGAAUAAGCACCGGCUAACUACGUG